GCCGUGCUGCGGUGCUGGCCGACUGCCCGUGGCCCUAUUGCAGUGCUGCUCCGCCUGCUCCGCUGCUCGCCUCCGCCUAGCAAGAUUUCCCUUUCUCUAACGUAUCGAAUCCUCGACUUCUGGAUUAAAAAUGACUACUAGAAAUACAGAUUGUUAUGUAUUCAAGUUGCCGAUCAAAGGUUAAGCGUUCAUGCAGCCAAGACCUCUUGAAGACUUGAAGAUAAGAGUUUUUCAGUUUUGUUUUGUUUUCUUGUUUUGUAAGAGCAAAUGAACUGAACUUUUCUUAGUCUGUAAUUUUGUUGAUUAAGCCUAUGUUAAAAAAAAAUUAAAAAAAAAUGACAAGUUGCUUUGUGGUUAGUAGUCUUAGUACUCCAUAUUCUUUUGACAAGUUGGUUUAGCUAAAUUUUACUGAACAAACAGAGCAUUAAUGCAGCAAGCAGUCGAACCUAUAGGACCACCAAUUCAGAGAGACAGAGACUAAUGAAAUGCUGAUACGUGUUGCACAAAAUAAAUGCAACAAUUAGAAACGAACUGAGUUUCUAUUAAUCAGGAGUAUCGUCAAGCAUACACAACUACACAUUGAUCGGUUGCUAUAACACUGAUUACGUACAGUAUAACAGAGAACUUCCUGUAUGUAAAAAAUGGGCAGUUUAUUUAUUGGGGUUCCAACAAACACAAAAGGGGCAGUGACUUAGUGGAGAGCAACUAUUAGUUUUGUAAGUUUUUUAUUCUAUAAAGAAUGUCAAAAUUUCUAUACACAAGUAUUUUGUAGCCCCGAUUGCAGCAGCAUGAACUUCUGAGUCAGACCAGAAGAGUAAUGGCAAACUCAGCAAAAGAGAAGUAGAAAUACCUCCAAUCGACAUUCCCGCAGUUUGAAAUAAUGAAGACAACGAUGCAACAAUCAGCAGGGAGGAUUGUCCAACAUAACCUCAAAGAAUGAUAUUCUUCAUGAGCAAAAGAAUCAGCAGGAGCACCGACAACUCAAGCAUUAAUUUCGGCCUAUUUCCAUAAUCAAGAAUUUGCUUCCACCUGAAAGUCAACCAGUAGAUAGCUGCUGAUGAAGCCUGUUAUCCAUAUCCAACAUUUAUAUUAUAUAUCAGAAGGGCAUUAAGUAAAUUAGCCUAGGAGACGUAUUGUAUGAUUCUUCCCAAUACAUCAUUAAUCAUUUAAUGAACUAGAUGGAAACAUUGAGAUCUUA